rnacentral:rRNA from 1 species
AUUGAACGCUAGCGGCAUGCUUUACACAUGCAAGUCGAACGAGUGGCGGACGGGUGAGUAAUAUAUAGGAACGUGCCCAGUAGCGGGAGAUGACUACUCGAAAGAGUGGAUAAUCCUGCAUACUGUUGGAGCGGCCGAUACCGGAUUAGCUAGUUGGGGGGGUAAAGGCUCAACAAGGCAACGAUCCGUAGCAGGGUUGAGAGGAAGAGUAGCCAAAAUUGGACUUGGACACGGCCCAGACUCCUACGGGAGGCAGCAGUUGGGAAGUUUUGACAAGUGGGGAAACCCUGAUCCAGCCAUCCCGCGUGUAUGAGAAGGCUUUCUGGUUGGAAAGUCCUUUUUGCAGAGAAGCGGUAUCCGCAGAAGAAGCACCGGCCAACUACGUGCCAGCCGCCGCGGUAAUAC